UCCUAGUGUCUUGGACAGUAAAGAAUCUGCCUGCAAUGCAGGAGACCUGGGUUCGAUCCCAGGUCAGGAA
rnacentral:tRNA from 1 species